UUCAGAUUUUAUGAAAAUCAACGUGUUGGAUGAAAAUCAACGUGUCGGAUCAGCAGACCUGGACAACAUGGAAAUGUCUGCUGUAACUGCAUCGGCUCUGCUGUUUGUCGGUGUCUUCAUGUUUGUCUCUGCAGAGCAGAAAACUAUCACAGCUGAGUCUGGACAGGACGUCACUCUGACAUGUAGAGCUCCGAAUGACAACACCAUAGUUACAGAGUGGAGCAGAGCCGAUCUGGAGAUGGAACAUGUCCUCUUGUACAGAGAUGAACAGUUUGAUCCAGAAGAGCAGCAUCCAUCUUUUAAGAACCGGGUGGAUCUGCAGGAGAGACAGAUGAAGGGUGGAGACGUGUCUUUGAUUCUGAACAAUGUGACGAUUAAUGACACUGGAACAUAUAAAUGUCGCGUCAUCAAUGGAAGACCAAACCGCGGACGGGUUGCCCUAUUGAAGAACGAACCCAUUUGCAUCCUUUACACUGAGUGUUGUUGAUCCUCCAGGUCAGACAGGAGGAGACACAGAGGAUGGAUCUGUUGGACUCAUAGUUAGUCUGUCUGCUUGUAUCUGUCUUGCUGCUCUGGUUCUAGGUUUCUAUAGCUACAGGAAACAUAAACAACAAAAAACGGGACUGAUAUCAGCAGGAGAUAUUCUCGGAAAAUGUAGAAAAAAAAAGAAAAGAAAAUUCCUGUCUAAGUAAAUACUGUGUUGUUUGUUUACUUUUAACCAACAUCAUUUGGCAUAAAACUG